rnacentral:lncRNA from 1 species
UAUAUAUAUAUAUAUGCUGAUGCUGAAUAUAUAUAUAUGCUGAUGCUCCAGAUACUCAACUAGUCUAAAGAAGGCCAUAUAUACAUACAUAUAUAUGUAUAUAUAUAUAUAUAUAGGCCUUCUUUAGACUAGUUGAGUAUCUGGAGCAUCAGCAUUUGUGGGUACGAUUACAGGCUCAAAAUGACCAGAAACAAAGUACUUUCUUCUGAAACUCGUCAGUCUAUUCUUGUUCUGAGAAAUGAAGGCAAUCCCAUGCGAGAAAUUGCCAAGAAACUGAAGAUCUCGUACAACGCUGUGUACUUCACCCUUCACAGAACAGAGCAAACUGUCUCUAACCAGAAUAGAAAGAGGAGUGGGAGGCCCCGGUGCACAACUGAGCAAGAGGACAGGAGGGGUGCGUCACUUGAGUGGGUUGAGUCACUGAUGCGGUCUUCCUGUCUGGGUUGGCACCCCUCCUUGGGUUGUGCCGUGGCGGAGAUCUUUGUGGGCUAUACUCGGCCUUGUCUCAGGAUGGACCUGAGCCCUAGGACGAUGCCUCAGGACUACCUGGCAUGAUGACUCCUUGUUGUCCCCAGUUCACCUGGCCGUGCUGCUGCUCCUGUUUCAACUGUUCUGCCUGCGGCUAUGGAACCCUGACCUAUUCACUGUGAUUACUAUUAUUUGACCAUGCUGGUCAUUUAUGAACAUUUGAACAUCUUGGCCAUGUUCUGUUAUAAUCUCCACCCGGCACCGCCAGAAGAGGACUGGCCACCCCUCAUAGCCUGGUACCUCUCUAGGUUUCUUCCUAGGUUUUGGACUUUCUAGGGAGUUUUUCCUAGUGUCGUGUCUUUGGCAUCAUUAAAAACGGAAGACCUGUU